GUCUACGGCCAUACCACCCUGAACGCGCCCGAUCUCAUCUGAUCUCAGAAGCUAAGCAGGGCCGGACCUGGUUAGUACUUGGAUGACAGAAAGAUGCCAAAAGCACAGGCAAUCAAAGCCA
ensembl:rRNA 5S_rRNA 5S ribosomal RNA